rnacentral:rRNA from 1 species
CCUACGGGCGGCUGCAGUGGGGAAUAUUGCACAAUGGGGGAAACCCUGAUGCAGCGACGCCGCGUGAGUGAUGAAGGUUUUCGAAUCGUAAAGCUCUGUCCUUGGAGAAGAUAAUGACGGUAUCCAAGGAGGAAGCACCGGCUAAAUACGUGCCAGCAGCCGCGGUAAUACGUAUGGUGCGAGCGUUGUCCGGAAUUAUUGGGCGUAAAGGGUACGUAGGCGGUUUAGCAAGUCAGAUGUUAAAGCGUGGGGCUCAACCCCAUAAAGCAUUUGAAACUGUUAAACUUGAGUAGUGGAGAGGAAAGUGGAAUUCCUAGUGUAGCGGUGAAAUGCGUAGAUAUUAGGAGGAAUACCAGUGGCGAAGGCGACUUUCUGGACACAAACUGACGCUGAGGUACGAAAGCGUGGGGAGCAAACAGGCUUAGAUACCCGAGUAGUC